UGGGGAAUUUUGGACAAUGGGCGAAAGCCUGAUCCAGCAAUGCCGCGUGUGUGAAGAAGGCCUUCGGGUUGUAAAGCACUUUUGUCCGGAAAGAAAUCCUUGGCUCUAAUACAGUCGGGGGAUGACGGUACCGGAAGAAUAAGCACCGGCUAACUACGUGCCAGCAGCCGCGGUAAUACGUAGGGUGCAAGCGUUAAUCGGAAUUACUGGGCGUAAAGCGUGCGCAGGCGGUUUGCUAAGACCGAUGUGAAAUCCCCGGGCUCAACCUGGGAAACUGCAUUGGGUGACUGGCAGGCUAGAGUAUGGCAGAGGGGGGUAGAAUUCCACGUGUAGCAGUGAAAUGCGUAGAGAUGUGGAGGAAUACCGAUGGCGAAGGCAGCCCCCUGGGCCAAAUACUGACGCUCAUGCACGAAAGCGUGGGGGAGCAAAACAGGAUUAGAUACCCUGGUAGUCUACGCCCUAAAACGAUGUCAACUAGUUGUUGGGGAUUCAUUUCCUUAGUAACGUAGCUAACGCGUGAAGUUGACCGCCUGGGGAGUACGGUCGCAAGAUUAAAACUCAAAGGAAUUGACGGGGUCAUAGCUGUUUCCU
rnacentral:rRNA from 1 species